UUCCAUGAGAAUCUUUUAAAAAUGAAAGCCAGACAGAAGGUGAUUGGCGGUUUUUAUAAACCUUCAAGCUUACACGACUUUUACAUAUUGGAAAAUUGCAAAGAUGUAUGAAUUGAAAAUAUGGCUGCAGACCAUUCGUUUUUCGACCUUGAAAUAAAUAUUUGUUAUCUUGUCUCAAGAUGAGAAUAAUAAUUAUCCCUACCACCAACAGUAUGAGAUUUAAAUGAGAUAAUGAUUCCCCAGCAUGUAAGUGUAUCUUGCUGCAGGUUGUGCCAGAUGAAAAUGAUUUAGCGAACAAUUUGCAUAACAAAGUGAAUAUGUUUCACAUUAGUCACCUGCACAUUAAAAUAUUAAAUUUAAUAUAAAUUUAUGACGUGUUUUAUCACAAUUUUAAAUAUCAGAUUGCAAUGUGUGUGUGUAUACUUGUGUAUGCAGUAAGAGUUUAAUAAGUACACAGUAUCUAUUUUGUUUUUCAGGGGUGCUGGUGUGACAGACACAGUGUGCUCGGCCAAGGAUUUGCAAAGAAGAACAUCAUUGCUGGCCUUGGGAGCUCCCUGCAGAAGGGGGUACUAGAGUCUGAGGGAUGGGGGCCGGCAGGAUAAAUCUCACUUCUAAUCCAAUGCACAGCAAUGUCUUGUGCCAAGGAAAGGAAGCCCCUGGUGCCACUGCGGACAUCCGUAUAAAUCACAGACAGGCUUUAUUCCCGAGCGGCGUGGGGCUGUGCAGAUUGGAGCGACGUCGCACACUCUCAUUGGGCGAUGCUUCAUUACUUGACGGAGAGUCCCCAAGGCUGAAAUGUUAUUUAAAUGUGCUAUGAAAAUAAAUGUGAUUUACACACG
rnacentral:lncRNA from 1 species